UAAGGAAUAUUGGUCAAUGGACGCAAGUCUGAACCAGCCAUGCCGCGUGAAGGAUGAAGGUCCUCUGGAUUGUAAACUUCUUUUAUCUGGGACGAAAACGGGAUUUUUAUCUCAAUUGACGGUACCAGAGGAAUAAGCACCGGCUAACUCCGUGCCAGCAGCCGCGGUAAUACGGAGGGUGCGAGCGUUAUCCGGAUUUACUGGGUUUAAAGGGUGCGUAGGUGGGCUUAUAAGUCAGUGGUGAAAUCUCCGAGCUUAACUUGGAAACUGCCGUUGAUACUAUAGGUCUUGAAUUAUCUGGAGGUAAGCGGAAUAUGUCAUGUAGCGGUGAAAUGCUUAGAUAUGACACAGAACACCAAUUGCGAAGGCAGCUUACUACAUAUAAAUUGACGCUGAGGCACGAAAGCGUGGGGAUCAAACA
rnacentral:rRNA from 1 species